AGCAAGUGUUUGACGCUAUAGCACAGCAACACACCCAGAACUGAGGUCACCUGAGCAGCAUAAAAGCAGAGGAGCUGCUCAGCAGCAGCAUCAAACCCGGAGAACUCACCUGUACAUCAGGAUGAAGCUGAUCUUCUCUCUGUGUCUCAUCUAUGCGCUCUGCAGCUCAGCUGCUGCUCUUCAGUGUGACGCCUGUGCAGAUCAGACAUGUUCAACCACAGUCAGUAAGACGUGCAGCUCAGAGACCAUGUGUAUUACAGCUUCCAUCAGAGCCACUUCAUCUCAAGGUUCAGGAGCAUUAAUCUACAAGG